GCACACAAAAAAUAUUACUGUAAUGACAAAAGUAACUUACUUUUGAAUUUAAAAGUUGCUAAAAUUUGCUAGAGGGAAAGUUUUUUUCUUGUUUUAAAAAUGAAAAAUUUUACUGCUACAGUUUUUGAAAAUCUCAUUGCUAACUGAUUUAAAAGUUUAAACUUUUAAUUCGACUGUAUAAUUUCUUUCAUUUUGUCGUUCUCGUGAAACCGCCUAAGUCCAAAAUGUAAACAAACGUUUAGGUGAUUUCGGUGCAUGGUUAGUGAGUGGUGGUUCACGACGACAAUCAAAACCGAACGCGGCCGCAGCUAGGACUUGGACCACGACUUGGACGCGGAAACCUUCGAAGGAGGAUGGUGCGGGUGCGGAACAAGGUUGGGGGAUUAGGGGAAAGUUGGUUUUCAAAAGGACAAGUCCAGCUUCCUGCAGGACCUGCAGCUUUCACGACCGAAAUGGGUAAGAAGGAAGCUUGGGUGUUUGGUGGCGUUUGUGAUUGAUUUUGUUUGUUUUUGUAGGACGCCGUUUAUGCUGUUGCCGAAAAUCGGAGGUCGGGAUGUGGUUUUGCACCGGUUGUAUUGAGUGAGGAGAAGGAUCCGACGGACUAGGGAAACUACGAGAAGCAGCAUAAUCGGAGGUGGUCAGCGUGGAUGUUGCACUCGGUGCCGGCGGUUUACGACCAUCAGUAGCAUUAUGUGCCGAAAGUGAUGACGGGACAGUGUAGGAUGUCCUGGAGCGAGACCCGACGAACCUGAUCAAGAACAUCUACCCGGAAUACCGAAGAAGUCACCGGUGAGUAUUGAGAUUGUGUUCAGUGUCUAGCCAAUUUCAUUUACUUUCAAACUAUUUCAGCAACUCCCGCCCGCAAACACUCAUCUCGCGACGGCGCAGCUUCGGCCGGAUGAACCUUGACGGCUGUAUCAUUUUCGAAGGAGGACGAAGUGAUCGUGAACUAUCCUUUCAGGCGCUUCACUUCCCAGCCGGGAAACGUCGACUUCCCUUCCCGAAUCAAUAACCAAUGGCCAACUCCUCCAAGCCUUUCCUGAGGAUGGCCGGCAACGAGACCACCCUGUUCUCUACAUCGCUGUCGCGCUCUAAAAUGAAGGCCACGAUGUUGCUGCCCAACGAAACAUCCAUCCGUAACCUGCUCAGCCUGGGGCCUUCGAACGUGACCGGUGGCAUACCGUAAGAAUCGGUACAGCUUGGACGUGGAAGUUGGCCAACAGAUGCGUUAAAUACAAAAAAAAAAUAUUGAAAUAAAAUCCAUCACAUUUUUCGAAAAUCAACAAUGUAAUGUUAAAUGUUAUUUAUUCUUGCCAUAAAAAGUUUUUUCUUAUAUUCAAAGUAAAAAACUUUUACCUAUACAACGAUUUUGUUCCAGAAAUGCAUGGUAGUAUCAACAACUUUUUAACUUUUAAAUUAAAAAGUUUGAACUUUCUACGAAUAUUCACCAACGCGAACUUUUAAUCCAACGAACGAUCUUUUUAAAUUUAGAGUAUUUUUUCUUUGUGUGUGGGAUCAACCGUGCAACGGCCUCCGAUCAUCCAGCGGCACUGCCACCCGCCGGAUGAAACUUGUAGUGAUAGCGAUCGCUGGCGCUGGCCAACAACGAUCCGUCCCGGUCCACAGAACUACUGGCGCCAACCGUCGCUGACUCGGUCGACGUCCCGCCGCGGUCCUUCAGGAACCGGACCUACUAGCCGCCGGCCAUGGCCCUGUUGUGCGACGAGUACUGAUUUGUGCUAACGCAGGCUUAAAAAAAAAACAAGAGCGUUAGAAUCUGCAGCAAUCGCCGACAGGACUCAGGAACUAACCGUUACGCCUUCGUCGCGUUCGAGGCGAAAUCAGCCAGCAUCUGGCCGGCAAAGUCUUGCGCCUGGUACCGCUUCUCGUACACUUCGAAGCCGAGAUGCAGCUGUUCGCGCUUGUUCUUCUCCCGUUGCUUGAUCAUCUCCAGCAGCUAUGCUUGAACAUCUUCUGGUAAGGGGACUCGUCAUUUUUGCAGAUCUUCCUAGUUUGCAUACUUUUUUCGGAGUUAUUCGAGGUUACUGUCGGAAGAUGAUUCUCUUCCCCUGAGGACACUGUGAGUGAUUUUGCUUGUUCGCGUCCAAACAGCCCCUUUUGGCCCUUCAUACGGCAGUAAUUUGAAGAUGCUCUCUUUAAGUCUGAGCCACUGUAAUUCUAGGCAACCGCUACAUAGGUCAUCCUUGUGGCCCUGUUGGUUAUCUCAUCAAAUCAAAUCAUCUUCCUAGUUUGCAUAUUUUCGGUUCUUCGUCGGAAUGCCAGAUACGAGUUGUGUUCUGCGUCGUGUUGCUCUGCUUUCCGUCUUCACCGACAGUAUCAGUGAAGAUCGCAUCCGGCGACAGCUAUAUGCCGGUUUCGGUUUUGCCAGGGUCGCGCCCGAUGGAAAAUGUUGAUACGCAAGAUGAGUGUAGUCACCCUCAACCGACUCCCUCAGUCUCUUGGGGGUUGGACUUCCUCGCGCUACUCUUCCUUGUGCGACUUUUCCAUCGCACAGGGCUUUCGACGCCGAUUUUGGCUCUACAAUCUGCUGCAACUUGUCACCACAAACGGAGAGCGUUACCGUUUGCUUCUCGCAACUUUCCGGGAAGCUACCGUUUACGGGAUCAUCGCCUUGAAGGGUUUCUUCAGCGUCUGCCAAAUCACUGGUGAAAUCUUCGAACGCGUGUUCUCGGCAAACGAAUCCAAGUUCUUCAUGUUGGUCGCCAUAAGGAACUUGUACCUUCCAGCGCGAUGUUCUGCCGCGGUGACUUUGCGGUUCCGACGGAAGAUAUCGGGCGGAUCUCGUUGACUGGCCGUGUUCUGAAAUGCUCAUCAGGAACCGAAGGAGCUUAGACUUGGCUACGAUAGCUUCGAGAGAGUAGACGUGUUGUGACGUGCGCGCUGAAGGCAACGUUGCUUGCCUCGAGUUUUUUGACGGAUGGAGGUGGAAGAGACCUCCGAGACGGAUGAUUUUCAACUCAUACCCGGAAAUCGGAAGCGGAAGAAGUCCCUUGAGGUCACCGGAGCUAUCGUCGGAGAAGAAAAAGUGGAGCAGAAUCUGCUCAACAACAACAAGUUCAGCCCGCUAGCGGAAAACAAAAACAACAACAAUGCCAGCCCAGCAGGAGGAGGAGACGUCCCGGCGGUUCCACCACUCGGCCAGUCGGCAGGUAAACAAAAGCAACCGCCUUUUGUGGUGAAGAACACCACGGAUUUUUACAAGCUCGUGGCGAUAGUGGAAGGUUGUAAAUUUGGUUUCGAUCCUAUUUACAAACUGACCCGAUUUGGAACCAAGGUGACCUGCUUCUCUGUCAAAGAUUUUGACAAGUUGCAGGAGCUUCUCCAGAGGAAGAAAGUGGAAUUUUACACCCACGGCCGAAGAAGCGAACGAUUUCACCGGGUCGUUGUUCGUGGUUUACCUGAUCAACUGAAACCGGAUGAGGUCAAGUCAAGGGGGUUGACACUCGAUCAUUCUGGAAUAAUUCUGGAAUGAACGGAAUGACGAUGAUGAUUCUAGCAAAAAUGAUCAAGUGCGGGUAAGAAGGUAACUGUCAUAAUAUUUACCUUUUUAAACCAAAACAUGUUGCGGUGCUCUGCAGCAUUGGGUAGGACACCAGAACCGGCGGUUGUGCUGUACUUUUUCGGAGCGUUCGGUGCCGGCGACAUCCAGAGCAACGGCCGGAUUGGCCUUCACUGGAAUCUGACCGAGCUGCACAAUCCAGGUGUUGGCUACAAGACGAGCAUCUUAGAUGGACCAGCUACGUACCGGCGAGGCCAACGUGCUGGUUAUUCCGGUGGAAGCUGGCUAGUGAAUCCAAGGGCAGGCUCGGAAGCGGAACUGAAUCUGUUGGGGGACUUCUUGGGCCGUCGAUAGCAAGGGAAGCGACUGAGCUGUGGUAGCGGAGAUCCCUCGGACGAGUCGGAAGAGGAGCUCGUGAGGUGGCUGAUGCCGACGGGCAGGACUUUUUCGGUGAUAUGAAGAUCAACAAGGAGGAUGAGCGGGAGAUGUUUCAAAACAAGAACGGCGUAAAGACAUGCAUGCCAGCCGAGAUCGUUAUGGACGAAAUCACCGAAAAACAAACGGGAAUUCAGACGCAGUUUUCCUAAAAUGGUUCGCUCAAAAUGGAAGAUUUCGACUAAUGGAUUCUACAAAUAUAUAAAGCUCCUGGGACAUGCUGAAUUUUGAAUUUAUUUUGAAAUUUUAACAUCAUUAUGCCAAAUGACCAUUAUGCCAAAUGGUCAUUAUGCCAAAUGACCGUUAUGCCAAACGUCCAUUAUGCCAAACGGCAUUAUGCCAAACGGCGUUAUGCCAAACGGCAUUAUGCCAAAUGGCUUUAUGCCAAAUGGGAUACACCCGCUCAAAACAUACGUUGCCAGAUCGAUUUAGCAAGCUUAGAGCAGUCUCCCUAUUUAGGGUCUCUAGGCUAGGUCUGUACUCCCUCACUCCCCAACAGAUGCAUUCUGAAUCAAGAUUUUAAUGUUUUUCUAAAUCAAACAUGGCCGAUCGGGAAUGAUACCUUUCAGAGCCUUAACAACCUAAUUAUAAACCAUUUUUGAUUUUGAAUUCAAUUUAAUGAAAAUUUAGUAAAAUUCAUCCAAACCCAAAAAAGUGUGCCAUGGCAUGACCGCCAUAUUUUUUUUCUAAUGUUGGUGCUACUGCGCGAUUUUGAC